rfam:Schistosoma rodhaini strain Burundi genome assembly, scaffold: SROB_scaffold0000537
AUUCAGUUGACGAGUUCCAAAUAGGACGAAAAGUGCUUCCUGGAU